GUUUAUCAGGGCCAAAAUGAUUUCUCUUAACAUUUGAGAUUUUUCAUUCCUCGUGCUUCUUCCAACACAAACCCUUGCAUGUAUUCUCCUAUGAUGUUUUUCAAAUCUUCAAUCUUCCAAAGCUAUCUGCAGGCUAUCAUCUCCAAAUGAAUAUCCCCUCUUCGAGAUAAGCCGAACACAGUCACUUAGAAGGCCUCAAUUAUUCUAUGGUUGGGCCCGUGUAGGAACAGGCGCUCCUUUUCCUCGCUUCACGAACUACCAAGGGGAUUUGGCUCUAAAGCUUGAAGCAUGUCAAGGAAUACUAUUAUAUGUACAGCCUUCUCACACCGCGGAGCUCUUUUCUUACUUGGUUGAGCUUCAGACUUCCCCAGAAACACUCUUGUGUAAAUACCUCAUCGAGUAAGUUAUUGUUACUCGAAAUAGAAAAUAUUCUCUGAUAUUGGUAGUUCUGUAAAUUCUUUAUUUUUCGUCUUUAUUUUAUCUUUUGCAAUUUUUUUUGGUUAAUAAUGUAUUAAACUUAUCUCUUAAUUUACUCAGGCAAAUUAAGAAAUUACUUAAAUUGGGUUAUGUUACUUUUCAAAUUUUUUUGAUGAAUAAAAGAGUUGUCUUUAGACAAACUCUACAGCUGAACUUCAUGUGAAAUUAAAGGAACGCCUUCUGCUUUUUGUGAACAUGAUCUUGUAGUUGUUGAAUGAACAAAAAGAUUGAACCUUGAUAACUAAUUUUCUACUAAAUGCAACUUGUUGGUAAUAACACGAGGGAAUAUGAACAGUCGGUGAUAACAUUAUGUAGCUAGGUUGGCUGCCAUUAAAAAUUAAAGUUCUUUUUAAAGUAGAAAUUACUUUAUCUUGAAAAAGAAAAUUAAUUAGAAAAAUAUUGGAUUCUCUGAAUACAUGUUUGAUUGACCUUUUACUAUUUUUAAGGUUUUAGUGAAAGAGAAUAUGACUCAAACUAUACGUAUUAAAAAAACCAAACUAUAUGUGAGUUCAUAGAUACUAUUUUUAGGUUUUAGCGAAAGAGAAUAUGACUCAAACUACAUGUGCAAAUGCAAAUUACAUAGUGAAGCACGAGCACUGUUUGAUUGUAUUCCCUAACUCAAAAUGUGGGCGUCUACAAUGGAUUAUGAUAAAGUUAUUUUCCAUUAACAAAGAUGUUGGUAUUCUAAACUUCAGCCUUUCAAUUUUUUUUUCACUAUUUGUUCAGCCAAUUGAAGUUAAACCUAAAUGAUAGUACAUUGUGAAUUAAACUAAAUUGUUUUUUUUGUGGAGUUUUUUUCUGGAAACUAACACUUUAUAAUCUCUUUAAUUCUACUAAUAAUUGGAUUGUUUAAUGAUUUCCAAUUGAGUCACUUUCUAAAUGUUGCAUACUAAGUUCUAAGACUGGUAAAACAUCAAUUUUCUGAUCUUUGUUAUCUUCAGUGAUGUUUCGCCUUCUUAAGGAAAUUGCCCGAUAUCUGUAUAGUUUUGUCGAACUUGGUCUUAACAUUGUAUGAUUUUCUUGUCCUCUCUUCAGAGAUUUGGAUGCCUCCCUGCCUAUGAUAAAGUCGGAUAGAUUGGUGACCCUAAAAAUCAUGUUGGUUACCCAAUUUACCAUCAUCUUCAAUUGGCAUAUGUCAGUUUUCUUAAAAAAUGAAUACUCUUUGUAGACAAGACAUUAUGUGACCAUAUAAAUAUAUUGUUGGAAAUUAUUUCUUUUCUUUGCACAAGACACAUUAUUUGCACCUUGUAAAGAUUUUAUUUUCAGAUUGUAGGGUGGCUAUGGUAUUUGGGACAAAUCAAUCCGUAAUCGGAUUACAUUAGCCCCUGCCACAGUGAAUUAUUAUGUAAAUUUCAACCUAUCAUGUCCUUCUUGAUCAUAUCAAAGAAUGUUUGGAGAUCUCAGCAAGGAAUUUUUUUUUUUCCUUCGGUUCGUAUAUCUUUGAAUUCUUUUACCUUUUAACAUAUUGAUCAUUUUUUAUUCCUAUUGUAGGUAGAAUUGGGGUAUGCAGCAUACUAUAAAUCUUGAUUAUUAUUUGAUUUAUUGACUAUCAAAUUUUACUUUUGGACUGCUUUUUUAAUAGUGAUGCAUGAUCAACACGUGUUUUUUCUGUUAAAGAUACGGUGGUUGUCACAAGUUGAUUUUAUAUUGUUCAUUUUGGAUGCAUUUGACAUUCUAGAAUUUGAUUACUUGGAAAUGAAGAUUUGUAUAACUGAGUUGAUUUUGGGGUGGUGACAGAGGAUAGAGAAGGAAGCAGAUGGACCCAGGGAAAAUUUAGCUCUUAUCGAAAACAAUCCAAAUUCCUUGCCAUUGAAGUUCAAAUUUGAGGAUGAGGAGCUUUUUUUCUCCACUAGAGAAAUUAGAAUGGGGAGAUAGAAAUUGAAUCUCUUUUCUGUGAUUUAAUUAUAAGUCUUACAAAAAGGAUCCCGACUGCACGAAUCCUUCUCGGUAAUUUCAAAUUCGUUCUUGAUUUGAUUUCAGGUAUAUCAUUAGUUUCAGUUUAAAUUGUAAUGAUAUUGUAUUACUAAAUGUUUUAUUUUGUAUGUUUCUUUUUAAAUUUAUUCUGCAAUAGUGAUAAGAAUUGUUAUCACUUUAGUUUAUGCAUUCCUAUAUACAAUUUGGACUAUCACUUUGGUAGGUUCUAAAUGUAAUCUAUUAUUUGGUUCAUUCUGCAUAAACUUGAAGAGAUAUAGUCAUAAAUUAUCUUUGAAAAUUAUUUACCUUUAGAUGUUAAUAUUUAUUUUACUUGAUAAAAAUUAAAAACACGUCUUAGUAGAUUCGCUCUCUAUGAAGUGCUGCAUUUCUAAGUAAUUUUCUUCCUCCUUGACUGUCUUCCCAGCCUAAUCAACAUGCAAUUAGGAUUUUUCUUAAAGAAGUGUUUUUCCUUCUACAUACCUUGUAGGAAUGUUCGAUUUUCUGACACUAGGCUAGAAUCCAUUUCAUUGUUUGGAAAACUUUUGUAUAUGAAGAUUUGAUAAUGUGUGUUUGCAAUUUUGGGUUAAAUUGAUAUAUGUAGUGCUGUUUCAUUUCAAUGAUGCUUGCAAGUGUUUUUGGUUUAUUAUUUUUAUUUUGGUGUAGAAAAUGGACAAGGGACCGUGCUCGAAGAUACAUUCAUUGCAGCUGAGAAAAGAGUUUCUCUAUGUAACGUUGAUAUACAACUUAUGUCAAUUUUUUGUAUGUUUACUUAUUAAUGUUUUGCAAUAGUGAAAUUGUAAUACAAUUUUGUGAAGCUAUUAUUUGUUAACACUUAACAUAAAAUAAUUUUUUAAGUAUAUUAAUAUGGGUCAGACAAGUAUUAAGUUUCAAGAAUAUUAGUGGUUGAUCCUUUGGAAAGUUAUUCUAUAAAAGAAUAUUUCAAAUUAAGUUUUGGUACAAGUGACAAAAUGGAAUUUGAAGAACUGCUCUCUAUUCCUAGAAAAGUGGCCCAUCAUUCAAGGAAUAACUUGAUAUUGAUGAAAGGGAAAACUAGGAUAAUAUCCUUCUUUCCUGUAUGAUUGUUGAAAUAUUUUUGCGCAUAUAUCUCAUUUUGGGAACAAAAAAUCUAUGCUUUAAAACUUUCACUAGACCCCGUUGAUUACCUGUAGUUACUUAUGCAAAUAUUUGUUAACACUAUUGUAAUGCAGACAUUCAUACGUUUGUAACUUGAUAUUCAAGUAGGUAGUGUGAUUCUCUUUCAACCUAACCUUUGAACAAGUGCAAUUUUUUAUGUUGGGAUCCCGUUUAUCAACUUGAUUGAGAAGGAAAAAGAAGAUUUCAGGUAGGUGUUUUGAAUAUUUGUGAACUUCUUUUCUUACAAUUGAUUUGAAUGUUUUUUUGGUAUUUUUAAUUUCUUUUUUAGUUUCUUAGAUUGUUUAGCUAUUUCAAUCCUACCGGGUCUAGGUCAUUCAUUGGGUUUCUUCCAAUUGGGUUUGACAUUCUUGAAUGUGUUCGACUUAUAAAUUUACACGUAAUUUGUAUUUAUCUUUUCUUUGUACGCAUAUUUUAGGUAUUAAAUUUUAUUUUCUUUUGCCUUAUUCUAUGUUGGAUAUGAAAUACUUUGACAUAUUUGUAGUUAAUAAUUUUUUGUGAUCUUUUAAUUUUGUAUGAUUUCGAUUUUUAGUGAUAAUUUAUUCUGUUUUGUUUCUAUAUUUGUCCUUAUUUUGAAUUCUUUGUGUUUUGGAGUUUCAAUUCUUCAUAUUCCUUUUUUAUUUUUUCAUAAAGUUGUUUUCACCUUCUAGAUUCACGAGUAUGUAAACGGCUUCAUUUAGUUAUACUAAUUACCAUCAAGAUAAUGAUCUUGUUCUUCGUUUCUAGUGUGAUGUUUAAAAUUGUUCUAACAUGUUAUAAAUUUUUUUCUUGAUUGUUAUGCAUCCUUCAUUAGAUGCAUAUAGUCCUUGACUCCUCAUUUUUCUAUUGUUGCAAUGUUGACCUUAAAAUGUGUUCAUUGAUUCAACUAAGGUGGUUAAGGUGAAUAUCAUUUGUUCUUGAUGCUUGAAACAUCAGGUGAUAGCUCUGAGAUUGUCGUUGGCCUUGUUGGUCACCUGCAUCUCAAAAACGUUUUCACAUCAUUUUAAAGAUAUUGUAGUUUUCUCAUUUUGUUUAAAAUUUUACGGCUGGCGUUUCUUGUUUUCUCUUAACUUGAUUGAUUAACACAAUUUGAACUGUAAAAUGUGAUCAAGAAUGAUAUUCUCAAAAAAUUUCGAGACACAAUCAAUCUAUGUCGAAAGAAAAAAAUUAUUGGUAACUUGUUUAACAAAAUAGAUUUAUCGUUCAAGUUGGUUCUUUGUGUGCCUUCACCGAUGCUAGAUAUGCCUGCAAUAGUGACAAUAUAUAGUAACAAGUGCAAUCCUCUACUUGAGCUUGGAAUGGGCUUUACAAUACUGUUUGAUGGAAUUCACAAUGCAAGUGUAUCCUUGAAAAGAAUAAUGAAAUGUUCUACUUCGUUUUGUAUUUUCUUUUUAUUUACGUUCAACAGCUUGUUUCAUUUUGGAAAAUGGUUAGUGUGUCAAGAUUGCUUAUUAAACUUUGUUUUAAUAGUCACUGUUUUGUGUCCUUCAUAAUGUGGUAUGCAAAUAUAUGUGUGGCAGGCUUUGGGACCUUGUGACAUGGUAUAUUUAAUUGUUUUCUUCCAUAUUGUGAUAUUCUACUAGUUUGUUUCAUAUUGUGAGCUUAAAUAUUGUCUAUUCAGAUCAAUAGAUUUUUAUUCAAAUUAUUUAUAUUAUUUAUUUUAUUUUUUUUAUAAUUGAUGCUUGAAUUGCAUGUUAGAAUCGAUUUUCGUUAAUUGGUCAUUAUGCUUAUUGAGAGCAUGUAUAUUUAAUUAUGAGUUUUUAUUUGGUUUCUUGCUGUUUUGAGGCUCUAAUUUUAUAAAAUUUGAACUUUCUACUUUUCCUUUAUUUUUCAGGAUUUGUUGCAGUUUUAAGCUUCAAAGAUAGACUUUGAUGCGAAGGAUGCCAUUAAUGGAAGAAGCAUUACUUGGUGAUUUGGGUUUUAUAUUUUGGCUUGGGAUGUACGUCAAAUUGCAAUGGAUCAUAUGUUUAUAGAUGUGGUGCACAUGCAUUGGGGUUGAACAUCUUUCGGGAGUCUUUAAGCAUAUGCUGAAGGGGUGUUUCUUACUCCAUGUUACCUCUCCUUUCUUUAGUUAUUACAAGUCACCUUUUCGUUUCAUGUUCAGUUUAUUUAGGUUAGACUGUAAUAUAUACCAUCAUAGCAUUAUGGUUGUAGCCUAGAUGAAUGAUGCAAACAAUUAUGAUUUUAGUUGGAAUGAGUGUAUGAAAUAUAAAAUAGUAGAAAAAAUAGGGAUCUGAGAUAUGAUCUAUAGACGAAAGAGAACAAUUAAUAAGCUGUCAUCGAGUGCAUAGGGAUUUUUCUUGCUAACCAUACUUGGUUUAUAAGCUUAAUGGCUUUGGAUGCAUACCAUGUCUUUUCCAUAUUUCUCAUUUGUAAGGAACAAAAUGCCAUUUUAGUAAUGCAUAAUGUCCUGGGGUUGAACAUAGUUCAUAAUUCCUUUCAUUGAUGUGCCACAAAUUUGAAAUUAUUUUGCGUUUCAAUUUUACUUAUCAUUUGUGAGCCAUUACAAAGUUUUAGUGUUCUUUUUUAUGGUUGAUGUUGAUUUUCUUAUCGCGGACGCGCUAGAUAUCAAAUUCCAAGCAUGGACCAUGCACCCAUAAGAUCACAUUCUGCACAUAUAGAUCUCAGUGUGAAAUUCCAUAGUCAUUAUAGCAGGUAAUCAUGUCUAACCUUGAAUAUGUUACAUAGAUCUGUAUAUAAAUAUGCACAUAUUAGAUGUAAAUUAUUAUUGUUAUCAUCAUCAUCAUUAUUUGUUUCCUCUCAUUUGUUUUCGCUUGUUCAUGAUGUAUAAUAUAUAGGUGAUUUUGUUUCCUUCUUUUUAAGGUUUAUAUUGUUAUAUCAUUCAUGUUAAUUGUGUUUUCUAUUGAUUUGGGGACUAUACCAAUCAUUUGCUUCUUGUUACUUCUUCGAUCGUAGAUGCAAGUGGUCAAGUAAACCAUGAGGAAAUCUCUAUAUCAAUUUGUGCUAAAUUACUCACAUGUAACCUGGCCAUCUCGGUGAAGUUUGAAAAUCAUGACCUCUAAAUUACAUUAUAAAGAUAUUAAGAUUAAGAUCUUGGUCCUGGCAUUAUUGUUGUUUUCUACUUUUUCCAAUAUAAGCAUAUCUUAGGGGGAGAUUUGCAUAUUAGGAGCAUUAUGAUUUCUAUUUUCUUCCACUCUCCAAUAUAUACAACUCAAUAGCAACAAAAUCAAUUGAAUACUUAUUUCAUACCGAUUGAAAAGGGCUUAACUUUUUACUUAAAAAUAUGAAUUAUUUUUACAUUCUUUAGUUUUUUUUUUCUUGAAUCCUUAACAAAUUGUCUGUAGGCAAGAUGAUUUUAUAGAAGUCCAUCAAAAAGAGGUGCUUUCAAAACUAAGGGAAUUGAAUCAAAAAGUGAUUUUGUUCUUGCUCCUUUUUUUAUUUAUUUUAGCUAUCAAUGUAGAGGCAAACAACCAAAAUGGGAGCUAAACUUUUAGCGUUCAAAUUUAUGUUGUUUUAUUGACAAAUAAUGUCAAGAAAUGAGCUCUAAGUUUUCCUCGAGCCUCCAUAUAUAUAAGUUUUCAAUCAUUACUAUAUUCUUGGUGAAGAAUACAGUUAGAUCAAAUUAGUAUUAGAUACAAAUUAGUAAAUAAAGUUUAUUUGAAAUAUAUUUAGGAAAUGAGAGUCUACUUGCUUUUUAUUUUUUUAAGUAUCACUUUACUCUUUCAUGUAAAAGUUGAUUUAAAACAUACUCAUAUUUAUUCUACACUUUUAAAUACUCAAUUUUGACUCUACCACGUGCAAUUGCAUUGCACCAAUUGCUUAUAUUAUUUGACUGCAUGUUGCAUUCUUGCCUUUUCUAAAAUAAGUGUAUUUUACAAUUAAUUUACAUUUCAUUUUAUGGGAUCUUGGUCAUUUAUUUGAUUGCAUGUUGCAUUCUUGCCUUUUCUUGCUUUGCAAAAUGACAUCUUUUAGAAACAAAUCAAUCGAUAAAUGGCGGAGGAAAACACAACUCGUAACUGGUGUUGCUGCUAUUUGAGGCAAAUUACAUGCCUUUAAUUAGGUUUUACUUAUAAGACUUAAACUUUUCUUGUGCAAUGAAAUGUACAACAAUCAACAACUGACUAUUAACACUUCUUCAUAAUAGCACUGAACAAGCUGGUCGCUUAUAUGAGAGACCCAAGUAAUAUGAAUUUAUUAUCAAGGGGAUGCAUGCGAAUAGAUUGGUUGAUUCGAUAUGUGGAAAUGUAUGUUAAGUUUGAUUUUAUUAACUUAGUUUUAGUGGGGACAAUGCAACUACUUAAUUUGAUAAAAUGUGCGUGUGCCAUCAUUUUUUUCACUAUAUGAUGUAUGAUAAGUGUGUUUUUGCACAAUUAUUUAGGUCACAAACAUGACUUAAUUACGAAUAAAAUGAUUGAAUUGUGAUUUAAUUUCGUUACAUUUGUGAAUUGUAGGU
rnacentral:lncRNA from 1 species